AUUGAACGCUGGCGGCAGGCCUAACACAUGCAGGUCGAGCGGGGUUUUCGGACCUAGCGGCGGACGGGUGAGUAAUGCGUAGGAAGCUACCCGAUAGAGGGGGAUACCAGUUGGAAACGACUGUUAAUACCGCAUAAUGUCUACGGACCAAAGUGUGGGACCUUCGGGCCACAUGCUAUCGGAUGCGCCUACGUGGGAUUAGCUAGUUUGUGAGGUAAUGGCUCACCAAGGCGACGAUCCCUAGCUGGUUUGAGAGGAUGAUCAGCCACACUGGAACUGAGACACGGUCCAGACUCCUACGGGAGGCAGCAGUGGGGAAUAUUGGACAAUGGGCGCAAGCCUGAUCCAGCCAUGCCGCGUGUGUGAAGAAGGCCUUCGGGUUGUAAAGCACUUUCAGUAGGGAGGAAGCGUUGUGUGUUAAUAGUACACAGCGUUGACGUUACCUACAGAAGAAGCACCGGCUAACUCUGUGCCAGCCGCCGCCGUAAAAC
rnacentral:rRNA from 1 species